rnacentral:rRNA from 1 species
GACGAACGCUGGCGGCGCGCUUAACACAUGCAAGUCGAGCGAUAACCAUGGCUUCGGCCAUGGGGAGAGCGGCGAACGGGUGAGUAACACGUGAGUAAUCUGCCCUCGACACUGGGAUAGCCCGGGGAAACCCGGAUUAAUACCGGAUAGCCUCUCGAGCCUUCGGGCUCGUGAGAAAGGAUGGCUUCGGCUUUCGGUUGAGGAGGAGCUUGCGGCGGAUUAGCUUGNGGUGAGGUAACGGCCCACCAAGGCGACGAUCCGUAGCUGGUCUGAGAGGACGAUCAGCCACACUGGGACUGAGACACAGCCCAGACUCCUACGGGAGGCAGCAGUGGGGAAUCUUGCGCAAUGGGCGAAAGCCUGACGCAGCGACGCCGCGUGAGGGAAGAAGG